rnacentral:rRNA from 1 species
UUGAACGCUGGCGGCAGGCCUAACACAUGCAAGUCGAACGGUAACAGGAAGCAGCUUGCUGCUUCGCUGACGAGUGGCGACGGGUGAGUAAUGUCUGGGAAGCUGCCUGAUGGAGGGGGAUAACUACUGGAAACGGUAGCUAAUACCGCAUAAUGUCGCAAGACCAAAGAGGGGGGACCUUCGGGCCUCUUGCCAUCGGAUGUGCCCAGAUGGGAUUAGCUUGUUGGUGGGGUAACGGCUCACCAAGGCGACGAUCCCUAGCUGGUCUGAGAGGAUGACCAGCCACACUGGAACUGAGACACGGUCCAGACUCCUACGGGAGGCAGCAGUGGGGAAUAUUGCACAAUGGGCGCAAGCCUGAUGCAGCCAUGCCGCGUGUAUGAAGAAGGCCUUCGGGUUGUAAAGUACUUUCAGCGGGGAGGAAGGGAGUAAAGUUAAUACCUUUGCUCAUUGACGUUACCCGCAGAAGAAGCACCGGCUAACUCCGUG